GUGCAGCGUUUUAGAUGGUGCAAUAAACAAACCCCUAUUUUACUUGGGGUUUCUUGUUACUCACAUGUGGUAUAAAAAACAAAUGACAAAUAAUAGUGCAAUACUGUAGUGGUAAAACAAGAUUUACUGUGUGUAUAAUCCUUUAGUGAACUCACAUUUGGCAGAGCCUGAAUGGAUUGCCUCUACUCAUAAAUGCUUUUGUGCCUUUUAGGCAGUACACC